UCCGCUGAAAUUUGAACCCUCAACCCACUGCGCGUCGCGGUGGUUUGCUAAAUCGAUUUACUUUCAAAUUGAAACCUAAACCCUUAAACCAAUUUACUUCAAAAUCGGAGCAGCCAAAACGAAGAAGGGGGAGGGAAGGGGGCGUUUUACGGGGCGGAGGAAGGGAUGGAGAGGGAUUUUGGGGGCAAGGAAGGAAGUUUUCAGAAAUUGGUGGUUAUUGAUGAGAUGGGGAGCUAGGCGGUGGUGUUUAGUGGCGACUGGUUGCAUUGGAAAUUUGGGGGUGGUGGUUCAAGGGAAAACGGGGACGCGGCAGUCCGGCGAGGUAUGGUUGGGUUGGGCAGUGGUGGUGAAGGCUAGCUGGUUUUUCUGUUUUUUUUUUUUUAAAAAAAAAUUUGGUCCAGUAAAAAAAAAUAAAAUUGGACCACUCACGUGACGACACGUGUCCAGCAACCUACAAUAGAAGGUUGUUGACUUUUGUUGACCGGUUUAGGUAUGAAGAAUGAUAACCCACCUUAAAGUUGGGAUUAUUGAGGAAUAAUCCAAAGUUGGGAUUAAUAAAAAUAAAUUGGUCAAAGUUGGGAUUAAAAAAUGGUAUUAAUCCUUUUAUUAACUAAGAAUAAGUCGACUUUUACAAGGUAUUAACUUUAAAUAGGUCAAAUGACCUUCAACCUGUCCAACAAGUCACUUCCUUUUUUUUUUUUUUUUUUUUUUUUUUUUUUUUUUUUUUAAAUAUUUUUCUUUUAUUCUUUUUAGGGAAAAAUCCUCCUCCACCCCUAAGAACUACCACCUGCCAAUCUGCCAUCCACCACCACCAAGUCACUUAGCCAUCCAACCACCAUUUGUCAACCAUGAAAUGUAGCAGUCAUCCACCAUUAAAACAUGGAGAUCACUGAAUCACCCGAUUGUCGUUCUCCAUCGAAGCGCAUUGUUCUCCAUUGAGCCACCUUCUGAUAAUAUUUAUUCUCCAUUGACAAACUUCUAACUAAGAACCCUUUUAAUAUUAGGAUUGAAGUACUAAAAAGCUCUUCUCCCGAGGCUCAGGGACGGGCAUAGAUUUGCUGUUGUUGACCCUAACCAAAAUCGCCACCGCCAUUUCCAUCGAGCCAUCACCAGUGAACUGACCAACAAUUGCAAGUCCAUCAUCGUUGUGGCUGCUGCCACAACCUAUGUCACCAUUUCUGACCUUCUUUUGGGUGAGGGUUUAUGAGUUGGGUUGCAGUGGUAAAGUAGUGCCUCCUUUGUUAAUGGCAGAUUUAUGGAGGAGAGAGAAAAGGGUGCUAAGGGGGAAGAAAAAGAAUGGUGCGAUGGAAGUUGGACAUAGAUUUUUUUUUUUUUUUUUUUGAACGAGGACGGAAUUUUUUUAAUUUUAAA